UCAUGUCCUUAUGCCCACUGCAGGCACGAUGACCUAGGCCUCUGGAUAUUUGCAUUUUGACUUUGUAUCUGGGGCCCUCACAGUAUCUGGACGAAGACUCUUUACAUACAUACACACACAUUUGUAGGGAACCAGCCCCACAUCACACCUGUGGGUACCCCACGUUCAGUGGG